rnacentral:lncRNA from 1 species
UUUUUUUAUUUUAUUUUAUUUUAUUUUAUUUAUUUUAUUUAGCAUCAGAGUGGUUUUGGGGGAAAAUAAUGGCUACAACAUGCUUUCGUUGGGUUGCAAGGACUGAGCAUAUAUUGGUCCUGAGAAAUGUAUGUCGGAAGAUCAAUCUCAUAAUCCCAAUCUCAGAUUUCACCGGGGCCUGAGAUAAGUAGCAGCUAGGAACACUGUCAGAGCCAUAUAAAAUCCCCCAAGUCCAGCUUGUGUUCUGGUUAAUAGACAUGACCUUGACGGCUGUGAGCCAUCUUGGAUACUUCCAUUGUAUACAUUCUGUCCAUAAACACACUUCCAUUUUGGCAUUUAGAAAUAUCGCCUCAAAUUUAUUUGCACAUCUCUGUGAUAAAGAGUUCAGAACUUGCAUUCAUUUUGCUUAAUCAUAUGCUGUUCCUUCCUACUUGCCUCCAAGCCUCUUGCACAGUGACUAGCACAUGAAGGACUCAAUCAACAACUGUUGGAUUGAUUUUCCCAUUACGUUUAAAAAAAUACAUACCUGAAUGGACUGUUAUUAGUCGUAAAUUGUAUUUCCAGUGUUGCCUUGAAAACUCGCGAUGCUAUUUUAAUCACUUUCUGUACAUCAAACUAACCUAUGCAAAUGCCUAAAAACUGUCCUCAAAGCUCCAAGCCUCUGGUUUGAGCAUUAUCUGGCUGAGCACAAUUUGAUUUACAAAUGUAUCCUGACAUUCAAAGAAAGAGAUAACACAACUGGGGAAAAGCAAUUUUUUUUUCAUAAAGCUUUACUACAUUUUUUAAAAAUGCAAACUUGACAGACUGCAAAUAUCCCAACUGUGCUUGUCUGUGUGCAUAAUGGUUUUAUGCUACUUUUAUGUUUGGCAAAAUUUCUAUAGAAAUCACAAACCAGCUUUAUCUCUUGACUUUCAAACAUACCUCGCGUAAAAUGUGCUGAAGUAGUAAACCUAAUUUAACUUCUGUGAAAAGUAUUUCCAGUAAGAACUCCAAAAGCAAAACAUGCUUUGGUUCUCUGAAGCUUACUAACUGCUCUGAUAUUAACACAAAUAAAAACAGCAUUUUACUUAUACGACCACGAAGUGAAUUAAAUGCAAGUUAGUUUUACGGUAAUAGCCAAGAUUUGUCAAAUUUGCCACGUGCCAGGCAGUGAGUUGAAUAAUCCCUUCACGGGGGAGGACCCUGAAUUAGUCUGAAGAGUGGAAAGGUCUACACAUUUGAUGAGGCCAUGGAGUUUGAAGUUGGGCAAUCAAUACCGGAUACUGGGGAUAGAAAUCAAAAACCAAAAAACAAUUUAGAGAAGGACUUUACUUAAGAAAACUAAACAGCAGUCAACGAACCUUUAUAGGGGCACAGUGUUCACUUAGCCUGGUCACCUCCUGAGCACCAGGUGUAUGCAGGCAGAGGUCAAGGUGACAGCAUCUCUAUACUGGGGCGGGGGGGGGGGGGCGCUCGGGGUUACCUUUGUAUGACUCAAUAUUAAAGAAAUGUUAUAAUGUUUGGCUGGUAUAAGAUAUAGCACCUUAAAAUUCAUACAUCACACUCCCCUAAACUCUGACAUAAACACAAAUUAUACCUUCCUAAGACUCC